ensembl:lncRNA
CUUCUUCCUCUUAUUUUUCCCACAACCCGGCAUAUGCAAAUCUUUUAGGCAUUAUUUUUCCCUUCAUAGGCGUGAUGUGAGCAGGCCCUGGCUUGGCAGGCAUGUUGGGACGAGGCUCUGGAAUGAUGCUGUAUUCCUCCUCGACGACGACCCACAGUAAAUGCAGAGCCACUCAUCUGCAAAGCAAAGUCAAUGUAUUGUUCUAGACACCAGUGUGGGGAACUUGUUGAGGCCACUCCUUAAACACGUCAGUGCUCUGUUUAAAAGCGAGAGUCGAGGAUCAACAAAGGUCAGAAAACGGUAUGAAACCUACAAUGAACCCGCCAGACACCAAAUGUGUCUUGCUCCGGACAAUAUUUGUGGCUGCAUGUGUAGUAACAUGCCCAGAGGACCAUUUCCAACUGCAAGAAUUGCUGUGCUGCUUGAACUGCCCAGAAGGUAUGUAUGUUGCCCGGAAUUGCUCUGGAGGACCCACAAACUACAUUGGUGUGCUAUGUAAUCCAUGCCGCAGAUGUGAAGAACUUGGAGAGAUAACUGUUUCCCAGUGCAUGCAGUUUUCAGACACACAGUGUGACAGGAAAUUGCGACGGAUAACCUUGUAUGGUUCCUCGUCUGUGAUAGCCGCUAUUUUCAUCCUGACUGUGAUUGUGGCAGCCUGCUUCUUUUGCAGAAUCCGUAAAUCAGGUGAAUCUAAUGAAAGCUCCGCAGGAGAACCAUUCCACAUUUCCAUAUAAAAGAUACAGAGACAGUCUGAAGAAAAUCUUAAACAGAGGAAAAUGUCCAGCUUUAAGAACUGUAUAUUAUCAUUCAGUGAUUCAAUAACAUUAGAAAUACUGCAAUAAACAGUUCUAAAAAGAGGACAAUAGUAAACAGUAGUAAACAAUAGUACACUAUUUAAUGUGUCUUUUGCCUUUUCAGUUUGUAAGGUAGUUGUUAAGUUUAUGUAUAAGGUAAAAUUAAGGGAUCUAAAAUGUGGACAUGGAGAGUAAGGUAAUAAUAUGUGCUUUAAGUACUAAUAAACAACAGAUAUGCAUACUAUGUAUGCUAGUAAACAACUAUUCAAUAGUGAGAAUUUGUCCUUGAUAUAUAUGUUUGUGUGUGUAGGUGUGUGCACAUCUGUUUAUAUUGAUGUUAUAUUUAGAAAUGUAUCUAUAUUCAAACAUACCUGAUGUUGCAUGAUGCUGCAUAUUGCAUAUUUUUAUUUUAUAUAAUUUGUUUUUUUUUUUAUAAAAAAAGGAAAGAAAAUAACUAUUUGGAAUUUCUAAAUUCUUAUAGUAUCUAUAGUAUCUAUAGUAUUUUUUUUAAUCAGAUAUUUGUACUUUGAAAAAUUUAUUUUAUGUUCUGCUAGCAGAAAAACAAACACAGAUACCUACAUAGCACUCUAAAUGCAAAUUUAAUUUGCACUAAUUUUAUGUUGGGAAUUGCACCUUGUAUUAAUUAUGUUGUCACAAAAUUGAUAAUGUUUCACCAGACUGUCUUAUGUUUGAUUUGAAAUUUUAACACAAGUGACUAUGAAUCUACAAUGAUUUAGACCAACAUCUUAUACAACAAUACAAAAGGAACUCUACUUGUGAGCAUUUGUUGUGAUGAAGCAUCAUGUUUCUGACUAUAGAAUCCCUUUUCUAAAUUGCCUUUUAAAUGUUGAUGACUGAAUUUGUUUACUUUACAAACAUAAAGUUUACUAUUUUAAGUCAGA